GACGAACGCUGGCGGCGUGCUUAACACAUGCAAGUCGAACGGAAAGGCCCUGCUUGCAGGGUACUCGAGUGGCGAACGGGUGAGUAACACGUGGGUGAUCUGCCCUGCACUUCGGGAUAAGCCUGGGAAACUGGGUCUAAUACCGGAUAGGAGCCAUUUUUAGUGUGAUGGUUGGAAAGUUUUUUCGGUGUAGGAUGAGCUCGCGGCCUAUCAGCUUGUUGGUGGGGUAAUGGCCUACCAAGGCGGCGACGGGUAGCCGGCCUGAGAGGGUGGACGGCCACAUUGGGACUGAGAUACGGCCCAGACUCCUACGGGAGGCAGCAGGGGGGAAUAUUGCACAAUGGGCGCAAGCCUGAUGCAGCGACGCCGCGUGGGGGAUGACGGCCUUCGGGUUGUAAACUCCUUUCGCUAGGGACGAAGCGUUUUGUGACGGUACCUAGAUAAGAAGCACCGGCUAACUACGUG
rnacentral:rRNA from 1 species